rnacentral:rRNA from 1 species
CCUACGGGAGGCAGCAGUGGGGAAUAUUGCACAAUGGGGGAAACCCUGAUGCAGCGACGCCGCGUGAGUGAAGAAGUAAUUCGGUAUGUAAAGCUCUAUCAGCAGGGAAGAAAAUGACGAUACCUGAGUAAGAAGCCCCGGCUAACUACUUGCCAGCAGCCGCGGUAAUACCUUGGGGGCAAGCGUUAUCCGGAUUUUAUGGGUGUAAAGGGAGCGUAGGCGGUAGUGCAAGUCUGGAGUGAAGGGCGGGGGGUCAACCCCCGGACUGCUCUGGAAACUGUACGGCUGGAGUGCAAGAGAGGUAAGUGGAAUUCCUAGUGUAGCGGUGAAAUGCGUAGAUAUUAGGAGGAACACCAGUGGCGAAGGCGGCUUACUGGACUGUAACUGACGUUGAGGCUCGAAAGCGUGGGGAGCAAACAGGAUUAGAUACCCCUGUAGUC